rnacentral:rRNA from 1 species
UACGUAGGGAGCAAGCGUUGUCCGGAAUCAUUGGGCGUAAAGCGCGCGUAGGUGGCCAUUUAAGUCCGCUGUGAAAGUCAAAGGCUCAACCUUUGAAAGCCGGUGGAUACUGGAUGGCUAGAGUACGGAAGAGGCGAGUGGAAUUCCUGGUGUAGCGGUGGAAUGUGCAGAUAUCAGGAGGAACACCAAUAGCGAAGGCAGCUCGCUGGGACGUUACUGACACUGAGGCGCGAAAGCGUGGGGAGCGAACAGG